UGCAGGCUUUAAUUACUGGUCUCGUUAUAAAGGGGAAUACCAUGAAUAUUCACCUUUGAAUAUUCAAAGAAACAGCCAAGAAGCAUUUGGAGCCAGGGAUAGCUUGCUGGGUUGCUGUGGCAACACUUUACCUGUGACAUUUGAACUAAAACUGAUUAUUGAUGCUAUUUCAAAUGGAUGGAGGAAUAUAUGAUCUUAGGACAGGUAGGUAUAGUAGGGCCAUAUGUAGCAGAGCUAAUUUUAUUAUUUUCUUUUAUUUAUUUAUUUUCCCUGAAACCCCUAUAAUUUAUUAUUUGUGAAUUUCCCCAAAAUUCGUGCCCGCCUGUAAAUAGGUUGCUAUCCUGUCAUUUCAUAUGGCAUACCGUUUUUUUGGUCCCCCUGGGGCGUCAUUUAAUGUUGCACUCCCGAGUCCAUGGUUCGGUUACAGCGGUAAUGGUGAACUGUGUCGGGAUUCUUCUCUCCCUUUUUUCGUGUAUUUAUGUUGUUGUUUUGCUGAAAAUAAUUAUUUUGUGAUCCGCACUGAGAUAUAAUGUGCUAACGGACCCUUCAGUCUAGCCUCCAUUGCAUGCAUAUCGUAAUUUUGCUUUUAAACCGAAUUAUUGAUAAUUCAUUUGUUUGCCGGCUAGCCUCGUGCUAGCUGCGCCAAGCAUAUUGUACAUGAAUGCUAGUGCAAGUUUAGCCUCCAGCUGCCUCGUGGUCUGAUUUGUUAGCCGGCUAGCCUUGUUCUAGCUGCACCAGACUUAUUAUACAUGAAUGUUAAUGGAAGUUUAGCCGUUAGCUGCCUCGUGGUUCGAUAGUGCACCGAAUAACGCUAAUGUUUUGCUCAUACGCAAUGUAAUGAGAUUUUGUUUCAUACCCUGUAUUCCAUGCACGUUUUAUGUAUUUUCGAUAGGAUGGAGAGACGUUGAUAACACAGUAACGACUGACGCCCAGGAUGUGCUUUUAUUUUUUUAAAAAAGAAUGCCGUCUAAAGAGAAAACGAGAGGGUUGGUACCCAGGGAGGCCAUGGAGAGGGCUGCAGAUUUGGAGAUUAGGGGGGCGGGAGGAUUUUGGCUGGUGAAAAUGCUGAGUGGCUACUGACUUUGAGAAACCACUAGCCACAGUGGCUGGAAAUAAUUACCAUAUAUGUAAUUUUCAUCACAGUCAAAGGCAUGUCAUCUGCAAGCUAUUGCUUUUUCCACCAAGGAAGAUGAUGUGGCCAAACAGCAAAACAACAAAACUUACCAGACUUGAUCAUACAUAUAUAUUUUCAUUUAUUUUUAUUUUCACAUUGACACUUAAAUGGGUAAUAAACACAAAAUUGAAUAAACACCCUACGUUUUUUGGAGUUCUAAAGCUGCCUACUUCAACAAAGACCCCAUCUCCACCUCUCUUCUUGAUUGAUGGGUAAGUAUUAUGUAUUCAACCAAUCUAAUACAACUUCACAAAUUAGCCUGCUCAUCAAACCUCCUGUGCCAGAGUUGUGACAGCCCGGACAGUUUUUUUCUCUUUAGAUUAGUUUAGCUAGAAAUCCUUUUUAAUCUUUUCUUUUUUCUAUAUUGCUCUUUAGCUCUAUAUUUGGCACUUUAGUAGUAGUUACAAGUAGUAAUGCUAGUAUCUUAUAGUUCUUGUUAUAGUAUUGUUUUUAACAUUUAGGAAGUUACACUAGUUUUUAUAAUUGUGUAUUGUGUUGCCAAUUGUAUCGUUAAUCUUUUCUAAUUGCAGUAUUUUCCGAUUUUAGUUUCAAGUUUAAAAUUAGAAAACAACCAAGCCUUGAGUCCUAUUCCGUUUAUUUAACAAAAAUACCUUUGCAGGCCCUCAGAAAGCAACAAUUCAAAGCCAUUUGCUGACAUUAUAAUAAGAUAGCAAUUAUAGCUUGAUCUAUGGUGGCUCCUCAUUCAAAAUGGUGAGACACUGGAUUCUUUUUCGGUGAGCGUGGGAUUGUUUUACCCCUUGCUGGCUCCACCUACGUGCCUAUGACACAUUACCGACUGGUGGUUCUAUGCCCCCCCCCCCCCCGCCGCUGUGCUCUUACUCUCAACCCCAAUUCGCAUCUUUUAAAAUUGUGAAGUGGGCAGAGACAGGCCAAAAGCUGGCAUUGCUGUACUUUAAGGGAAUGAUAGCUGAAUAAGAGGUGAGUACUUGAAGAUUCCAAAUCUGUGUUUAUCUCAAAUAAGACCACUUUUAAAAAAAGUGUUCUGUAAAGUUGAGAGCUGUGCGAUGCUCCAGGUGAUAUAAAUGAACCCAUGAGGGGCCGGCUAAGGACCACUACAGAUUGUAGCCUUCUACUUCAGAUAUACUGCUUUCUUCAGCUCACUCCAUGGUGACAGCGAGGCAAAAGGCUGUCCAUUGGGCAUUAUGUUGGUAGGUCUACAGUUACGUUUGAGGGUCUUUCAUUGAAGGUAUUCAUCGGAAAGUAAUUGCACGGCUACAUGUCGGUUCAUUUGACGAAGAGUAGCUCCACCCCAGUGCACUCACUGAUCUGACUUUUACAUUCGAUUAAAUCUUCUCGUCGUCCCUUCUGCCACAUCCUACUGGGGGCCACUCUGCAGAUAAAUAUGAUUAUCUAUGUUUCCGCAGUAUCUUAGGGGUUCGAAAACAUUGCCCUGCUUUUCCUGCUCAAACAUAACAGGCCAGCGGCUCCAGAUCAAAAUGGAAUUUAUUAAAUCCAUGGACAGGCUUGGGGAGUGGCAGUUCAGCUCACCUGCAAUAAAAAUAUCAGCUGUGAACUAAUCCAGAAACACAGAAAAUUUAUAAAAGCUUAUAAAAGUAAGCGAUGACCACUUCUUCAUUCCUUCCUGCCCGGUCACCAAAGGCUGUAGGACAUUGUACUCUCCCACUCUGUGAAUCCUUCCAGAAUUCUCCCAACUUUUAGAAUUCUUCAACUCCUGGGCUUGCAGAAGGCCUGAGAUUGCUGUUGUCAUCAUAGAAGCUCAUCUGAGCGGACAGGUAAAGUUGAUCUCGACAGCAAUGAGGCCGCUGCCAACUUCAGCCUUUGACGAAGCAUCUUAACUCACGUAGAACCCAGCACACACCCUGCAUGUAGAGAAUAGAGUGCACACAUACAGAAUAAUGAGCUCCGCAUGUUUAGAUAUUGCAUGAAACUAUUGUAUAGAUUAAAUAAUUACAUACACAAAUCAGGUUUUGCAUUUACACUUAAAUAGGUUUUAGUUACAUAUUUAGAUUUUACACUUGCAAUUUGACUUACAUUUGCAAAUAUCUAUUUACAAUUAGGUAAUGUUUUGGCAGCUAUCUCACUCCAUAUGUAGGGGGUGCCUUUUGCAAAACACAAAUUUGCAUAGACUCACUAAGGCCCUCAGAAUCCUUUCCUGCAAGAGUCCUGAGUUGUAUGUCCCCCUCGAUUACUAAAUAUGAAUAUGCACACAUUUUGGAAAAGAUAUUUUACUACAGCUCCUUUAAAUGCAGCCUCUGUUCAAAUUUUGGAAAUAUGCGUACAAAUAUACAUACAAAUUGAAAAGGGACCAAUAUAGAUCUUAUGUAUCACAUUUUGUGCUACUACUGCCCUAGGUGGCGCUACUGCACCUCUUCAAAAUUGCCAUUUCUUACAUUAUUAUUGCAGAUGUACCCUUACUUCCAAUACACACCAAAGAGGGUUUGGAUGAUAUUUGGAUUAGGUUUGCUGUCCAUGACAUAGUACAAGUUGCUACAAUAAAUUCUGGCGUAGGACAUAGAAGGGUUGAUGGUCUCAGGGAUUGUUGUUUGGAAAACUCUGUAGACGGUGCCAGAGGCAGUUGUACGCGUCAUCUACAGUGAUGUUUGGAGUUGGAUGGUGACAAUACUACUCCUAUCCAGGACUUUGUAUGGGAAACAUUUCACACAAAAUAUAUACUAAACAAUGAAUAUGUUCAGUCACAGUCUACCCUACCCAAAACAGUCUGGGGUGCACACAAAAGCCCGGGUAGGUGUAAAAAUGACCCCAGAAGUGUUAUAAAGUGAAAUUCCCCUUUAAAUAAUUGAGGCCAGAAGUUGGCAUGGAAACUAUAAACAGAUAUGGCCCUCAUUGCCCACCUCUGCUCUAGAGAGUCAGAAAAAAUGGAAUGCCUCUGCACAACAUACAGGAAUAGAAGAAGAAAGGAGAACAGGCAAAACACGCAGAAGAGGAGUGGAGCGGCAGGUGUGGCUACCAAAAGGUCAUGGCCUGAAUUACGAACCAUAGACUUCCUGGAGCCCUACCUUCUAAAUAAAGCAACUGGAGGUAACAUGGAGGCAGAGGCAGAGGCAGAGGGGGAGCAGGAGCAAGAGCAAGUGGGGGGCAGUUAGUGGAGGACAGUACACUUGAAGGUGAUGAAGAAAAAGGUGACAGCAAGGAUAGAUUAAUGGGGUAAAAUGUGGCCAAAGCUGUGUUUUUAUUUAACCAUUAUUUAACCAGGAAAACCCCAUUCAGAUUGAAAUCUCUUUUGCAAGGGGGACCUGACAUGAAACACAACAAGACUUACACCUAACAAAAUGUACAAACAUCAAAUGAGGAAUGAGACAGAGGUGUAACAAUAAUUAAAAGUAGAAAAGAGGUUAAAAGCAAGAGCAUACUUCAGUCACAGAGUCAUGAAUUGCAUGUUUAAAGUCCACAAUUGAAAUUAAUUUAAAGUUUAAAAUUCUUUUGCAGAUUGUUCCAACUAUAAGGUGCAAAAUAUCUGAAACCCAUUUUACCAAAUUCAGUAGUGGGAGGAGGGACUUUAAAGUAUCACGUCCCUAGAGCGGAGGUAAUAACUAUGUGAAUUUCUAAUUAGCAGACAGCUGAGGUAGGAAGGGAGUAGAGCAAUUGUUGUUUUGUAGAUGAAUAUGUACCAGUGCGUCAAUUAAGUAAGUAAAAGUAAAAUUAAGUAGUACCAUAAGUUAAAAGAUGGAUCAUGACAUUAUAAUGAAUGUGUGGCAGGGCUCGGUUUGUGAGGGAGAAUCGGGGCAAUAGGAGGACCACGCCUACUGGUUAAGUAGGCACGCACACCUGGAUAACAUUACGAAUCAGUCCAGGGUUUAAAAGUGUGCCUUCUUUUCCCAGUAGGUGCCUGAGACCGGGGAUCACAUAUCCUUCCGAGAGAGCAAGCGAGCGAUCAAGCAUGAAUGGGAAGUGGGCUGAAAAGCUGUCGGUUUUUGUUCAUUUAUUUUGCCUUUGUUAUUGUAAUUUAUUAUUUUUACCUAGAGCCCAUGAGGUGGAUAGGAGAAGCCUUUUCCGUUGAUUUAAUUUUCCUGUGUGGUAAACCGCUGUCUGUCUCUCAAUAUUUGAACAAUAAAUUGCUGGUGAAAACCAGGGGUGUGGCACGGCAUGUGACAGAAUGUUAUUAAUAUAGUU